CGGUGAAUACGUUCCCGGGCCUUGUACACACCGCCCGUCAAGCCAUGGAAGCUGGGGGUGCCUGAAGUCGGUAACCGCAAGGAGCUGCCUAGGGUAAAACCGGUAACUGGGGCU
rnacentral:rRNA from 1 species